CCUACGGGCUGCAGCAGUGGGGAAUAUUGGACAAUGGGCGAAAGCCUGAUCCAGCCAUGCCGCGUGUGUGAAGAAGGCCUUCGGGUUGUAAAGCACUUUCAGUGGGGAAGAAAGCCUUGGGGCUAAUACCCUCGAGGAAGGACAUCACCCACAGAAGAAGCACCGGCUAACUCCGUGCCAGCAGCCGCGGUAAUACGGAGGGUGCGAGCGUUAAUCGGAAUUACUGGGCGUAAAGCGCGCGUAGGCGGUCUGAUAAGCCGGUUGUGAAAGCCCCGGGCUCAACCUGGGAACGGCAUCCGGAACUGUCAGGCUAGAGUGCAGGAGAGGAAGGUAGAAUUCCCGGUGUAGCGGUGAAAUGCGUAGAGAUCGGGAGGAAUACCAGUGGCGAAGGCGGCCUUCUGGACUGACACUGACGCUGAGGUGCGAAAGCGUGGGUAGCAAACAGGAUUAGAUACCCGAGUAGUC
rnacentral:rRNA from 1 species